GCCAGCAUGGGCUAGUGGUUUAAGUUUUGGACUAGGAUUCCAGAGACCAGGGUUCAAAUCCCAGCUUGGUCA